rnacentral:rRNA from 1 species
UACGUAGGGUGCAAGCGUUAAUCGGAAUUACUGGGCGUAAAGCGUGCGUAGGCGGCUAUGUAAGACAGAUGUGAAAUCCCUGGGCUUAACCUAGGAACUGCAUUUGUGACUGCAUUGCUAGAGUGUGGUAGAGGGAGAUGGAAUUCCGCAUGUAGCAGUGAAAUGCGUAGAUAUGCGGAGGAACACCAAUGGCGAAGGCAAUCUCCUGGACCUGCACUGACGCUCAUGCACGAAAGCGUGGGGAGCAAA